UACGGAGGGGGCCAGCGUUGUUCGGAAUUAUUGGGCGUAAAGGGCGCGUAGGCGGUUUGGUAAGUCAGUCGUGAAAUCCCUCGGCUCAACCGAGGAAUGGCGUCUGAUACUGCCGAACUAGAGUCCCGGAGAGGGUAGCGGAAUUCCCAGUGUAGCGGUGAAAUGCGUAGAUAUUGGGAGGAACACCAGUGGCGAAGGCGGCUACCUGGACGGGUACUGACGCUGAUGCGCGAAAGCGUGGGGAGCAAACAGG
rnacentral:rRNA from 1 species